rnacentral:rRNA from 1 species
AACGUAGGAGCCUAGCGUUAUCCGAAUUCACUGGGCGUAAAGCGCGUGCAGGCGGUUCGGUAAGUUGGAUGUGAAAUCUCCUGGCUCAACUGGGAGGGGACGUUCAAGACUGUCGGACUAGAGGACGGCAGAGGAAGGUAGAAUUCCCGGUGUAGUGGUGAAAUGCGUAGAUAUCGGGAGGAAUACCAGUGGCGAAGGCGGCCUUCUGGGCCGUACCUGACGCUCAGACGCGAAAGCUAGGGGAGCAAAC